CCCGUGUUCGGCUCCACGUCACUGCUGGGGCCACGGGAUUUGUUUUGCUGGGCAACUUCCUCCAGAGCUGGUUUCACAAGGAUUACUCACUUGAAUCAUGGUGCCCAUUAACUUUCAGCUGUCUGGAAAAACUGAUGGCCUGAGUGGGAAAGGAGUCCCAGACACUUCCUCACACACACAGGCUGGAGCAGAUUACAGGGAGUGAUCCCGGACUUGUCUGGGUGCUGCGGGAGCCAGCACGGGUUAUCCAUGAGAAAACCCUCUGAGCAAAGCAAGGAUGUCCCUGGCACGGCUGGACUGGGCUAUCCCGGGAUGUUUGUGUUGGUGUUGCCUGGGACACCCAGGUUUGGUGCUGCUGACGUUGCACUCCCGCUCCUCAUUGUUCUCCAGGGUCGGUCAGAGCCAGGUUCUUCCCUGUUUCAGGAAGUUUCCUCACGCAGCUCAAAAUUUCACAAUGUCUUGGGGACAGAUAAGAUGAACCCUCCAUCUCCCCAGGGCACCACCCUUUUGGGUAAGAGCUUCCCCUGUGCCACCCACCUUGUGAAAACAGCAGGAAACUCCUUUUUUUGGGGCAGGUGUGAGGCUGAGAUGGGGGAUCUGUCCCUGGCUGUGCCCAGUUUCACCAGCCAUGGGGAAGGUGCUGGAAUCUCCAAUCAGCUCUCUCAUUUAAUCAGUUUAUCUUUACCUCCCCAUGGCUGGUGGCUCCUCCCUGAACCCCCCUGGUGCCUCCACAAACAGAACAAGCACAGCUUUCCCAAUUAAUUUCUGUUUGCUGGGAGCUGGUAUUUUUCCAUAACCUGUUUAUUUUGUGCUACACCUUUGUUUGAAGGCUGUGCCCAGCUCCCUGCAGUGAUUACAGUGCCC
rnacentral:lncRNA from 1 species